CGCCCGGCCCCGCCCCUUCCCGCGCGCGACGGCGCUGAGGGGGCCGCGCGCCGCCUCCGGCCACCCCAGCGGCCUUCCCUCUGGGAAUCGCGGUUCCCUGUGCCCCUUAAACACGGAAAGCACAGGGCUGCAGCCUGUGCGGUCCCGCGGCUGCCUGGUGGGAAGGGAAGGUUUCUUCCUCGUGUUAAACUCCCCGCCGGCUCCCGGUGCCGCUGCGUCUGUGGGCGGGGCUGAGAGGAGCGCGGAGCGGGGGUGGAGCGAGUGAGGAGCUCCGCCAUGGGAAUGCUGUGGGAUGCUCGGUUUCAGCGUUUGCCUAGAUGCGUUCGACCUUAUCAACUUAAAAAUAUUACUUUCCAGGUACGAAUUGAACAAGACUUAGUUUAUUGGGGUUUUUUGGUGGCAUUCACGAUGUAAAUCAUUGAAAUAGCUAUUUCAAAUAAAAAUAUUUUGCAAGCACUGUGAAGUGCAGGUGGGGAGAACCUGGGAAAGCAGAAUGAAACAAUGUUUCCUUCAAUCCAUAGUAACACCAGGAAAAAAAAAAAAAAGGGUUAAGAGCCAUUUGGGUUUUUGGUCUGCCUUGGUGAAGGGAAUUUGCUACUUGGUCACACAACUUCAGACCUGUUACUACAGGGAGACCAAGGAAGAUGUUGCAACCAGCAGUGGCUGUCACCUGGAGGAAGCUCUGGCAGAGGUUAACAGAUGAGAUGUUUCUUGGUCAUGACUUCUGAAGACUUACAGCUGUACUGAGCUCCCAAGAGCCAAGGAUGCCCUCUUACCUUGUCUUUUAUCCUUUCUUGGAAGCAUCUAAAGGAAAACUGGGAACUGCAGUGAUACAUGAAGAAUUGACAGCUUUCCCAGCAGGAAGAUUGGCCUCUUCACAUUGGAAGACCUCUGGCUGUGGUGCUUGCAUUUCAGAGCCUUUCUACCUGUUUUUGACAAGCUGGGUGAAAUAUAUCAAAAUGUCACAAUCUGUUCUGAAGCAAAUCAGCUUCCUGGGAGCUUUACAACUAUUCAGGCUUAAGAUAAAUUGGAGGUGGCACAGAGUAGUGGAAGAGCAACAGUCUUUAGAAGCCCUCUCCAAAAUUAGAGUUUGUGAAAUACUCUCCAAACAUCUGCAUGAACAGUGCUACAUCAAUGUUCCAGCGGCCUGAUUGAAGAGAGUGUCCUUUAAUCUAAACCACGCUCCUUGGGAUUUCUUAAUGUAGUUAAUUCUUCAUUUUCUUUUUAUAUUUUGCCAGUGAGAAACUGCCUAGUGGUCUUUACCUCUGAGUCCUUUCCACUAACUGUUUCUUUUAGUCCUGGCAUGAUGCUGUACGUUUUCAUUGCACAGGGAUCUCCUCAAACAAAGGGAAAUUAUGAAACUGUCAGAUCAGAUUUCAUAUAUUGCUCUUGGCAUUGCACUCACUAGACCUCGUACAAAGUGAAUUUUGAAAGCCUCUGAUCUUUUAUAACCAUUUCCAGUCUUAAACAUACUUUUAAACAUUUAAAAGUUCCUCAUCUGCAGUCACUGGGAAUAUGAGUAUGAAAGCUGAGGUAAUUUGGAUAUUUUCUUUCUGCAAAGACAGAGAGAGUGAUCCAUUACAUCCAUAAAUCAUUUCCAAUGUUUCAUUAUUCUUUCUGCUAUAGUUCUUAUUGUUUUAUUAAGACUCCGAAUGUAUUUCAUUCACUUUUGUUUUUUCUCUUUCCUGCUAGGGAUAUAUGUUGCUAAAAUCAAGGUGCCUAGAUGUGCAUGUGGGAACAAACACUGACAGCGGGUUCAGAGUGGUGAGCUCUGCUGGGUCUUGUGGUACCAUAAACCAGACACAUCAAGGACACAAAAUCCUUUCUCUCCUCCCAAGCUGCUGUGUCAGUCUGGAAGCCUAACGACCAUGCAUUAGCACCUCAGUUAUUAACCAGCCUGUGGGCUGGGAGAAGUGUGAAUUUUCUUCACUGAUGUGUUCCUUCUCAGUUCAGGGAAAUCAACCAAACCGAAGAAAUGCUGACCUUUUGAGAAUUAGCUAGAAGAUCCCUUGACACAAAAUCCUGUAAGUUUAUUUGUACAGGAAUUCCCUUGGCCAACUCAAAAAGCCAGACAGAGGAUUCCUAGAGCUGAAAGCAUGAGCCAUGACAACAACAGUCUGAAUUAAGUGAAAAUGCUGAACUUACCAGAGAACACAAACAGACAGCAAUUCCAAGUUACUUGUGGCAUUGUAACUCAGCAGUUGCUUCACAGAUCAGUCACACACAGCUUCUUUGGGAAAGAGUAAGUUUGCUGAAAACAACUGGCAGAGAUGACAGGUUAUUCAAAUGUCUUUUCUGAAUGCCAACAAAACAGAAGCAUACUACCUUUAAUGCUUGUGUUAUAAACAACUUGCAUCCACUUCUGAAUCCCCUCACACAUCUCCUUCACUCAUAUGAACACUUUAAACAGGGAGCUACUCUGUAAAUCUCUCAAAAACUUCUAAUUGCACUUUCCUUAUCUGUACAAUUCACAGCCAAGUCAGAGUAGAAUAUCUGUGUACCUUUGUUACAAAUACAGUAGACUUUUUGAUUGCAGCUGCCACUGUUUCCAAACCAAUUCCUUAGCAGCCUUUCCAUCCUGACAAGAUGAGUAACUUUCUUAGAAGGAUUAUUUUUAUCCUUUCUGUUUUUCAGUUCCUUUCCAUUUUUCUUGGCUGCCUACUUGACUGCACAGCCUACUGCUCCGUUCCCUCUACCUUCCAGAGCUCAGAUUCAAGUCCUUGCUUGUCUGCAUACCAAGUGUUGGUCUCCUACCCCAGCGUUUCUUUUGACUGAUCUUGUUAUCAGCUCAUAGCCUGAUAUUUUUAAAUUUCAGGUAGUAUAUUCAAGUGACAUAUUGUAUUUCAAUGUAGCUAUGUUCAUUAAUGUUUAGAACUUCGUACAUGAUCCUGAAACGGUGAGUAGAGUUUCCUUCACUUUUUAUCUUCAUCAUGAUGACCUUUCCUACCUCUAUUCAGUGUUUGGUUUAUUUUAAAUCAGAUGGCUGUUUCUUCUCUCCAUACUGAAAUACCAUUGGUGUAUUGGUGUUAAGUCUUGUAAGUUCAAGAGCUUCUCCAGCCCAAUGAUAUACCAAGAGUAUGGCUGGGUUGAGUUGGGACAUUAUAUAUUGGGAAUAAAUCCUUGUGGGUUCCCUUGAGAAGAGACUCUGAUGGUCUCUUUCUUAUUUUAGAGAAAUUCGAAAUUUAGCUCAGCUGUUUUUCCUCCACUGGAAAGAUAUGUGUAAUGUCUCUGAGAAAAGGACAUUAAAACAUUUUUCCUUAAUAAGGUUUGUGGAUAACAUUGCCUACACUGGUCUUAACAACAAGCAUAAAGAGGCCAUUGCCUAGAGAAACUCUGCAACUCAUUAGUUAGUUUAUCUUUCCUUCAAAGAAGGAAAAGCAAAAAUCUGACUGAUAUGCCCAUCCAAUGCUCUGUGAAAAAAAACAACUCUGCAGCCAGACCAUUCCUUCACUCACAACAAAGCCAAACAAAGAGAACUCAUGCAUUAACUUUUUCGAUUUUCAAAGAAGAAAUCCUAUAAUUGAACUAAGAAAUGUUUUAGAUCUAGAAAAUGGGAUACUUUUUCUUUUGGAGGCAAAAAAUCAGAGCACCAAAGAAAGGACAGUGCACAGAAAUAGGGCAAGUUUAUCAGUGAGUGUAGUGUGGAGGAAAGUAGUCAUUAAUUAAUAAAAAGGAAGUGUUUUAGGGGAGUAUUCAGGUGUUUAACAGAAGCUUUGCUCUAAGUGACAUGGGCAGAAAAUCUGCGAGGUUUUCUCAGAGUGGUUCACCUGGUGAUCAAGCACAUCAAGGAAGCUGCUGCACAGCACCAAGUUCAGGAUGGAGAUUAUUGCACCACUUAACCUUAUCCUCAGGUCAGGCCCUCCUUGAUCCAUUAGCUGUCAUUUGGUUUCUUCCCACUCUCAGAAACCCUUGAGAUGAUCUGAAAAUAAAAGGGCCUGUUGUGCAUGGCUGGAGCUUUGAUUUCCUGAAAUUCAGCAAAGCAGGGCAGCCCGAGAGCACUGUGGCAUUGCUGUGGCAUGGCAGGGGCAGCCCUGGGAUCUGGGACCCCACCUCUUGUUGUUGGGACUUCUGUCGUGGUAUUGGCUGGUAAAAGCAAUAAUUUCAACUCCCAGAAGUAAGAUUCUCACAAAAUAAUCAGUGAACUGAAUUCUAUUUCAUUUUUUAACAUUUUUUGGAAGUGCUCCACUACAGUUUAGAAAAAGAAGAAGGGAAAGAGUUACCUAAAAGAAAAGCUGAACAACAAGGCACAGGGGAACACGUGGCCAGCACACGUUGCUCUUAAGCUAUUUUCAGCUGGAGUAUGGGUCUCAGAAGUAUGGCAUAGAUUCCAGUAUCCUGACAGUGUCUUAGUUUACUCUGGGCUCCUCAUAUAGAAUUCUCUUAAGUGGAUAGUGAAGGAAAAAAGCUUUUGUUUAAGUAAAAUACUGCUUUGCUUUGCUUUCAUGGUUUAAGACAUUUUAUCACUAGAGGUGGUCUUUAAUAUGUUCCUUAAACUGUAACUCUUGGGACCACCUCAUUCCUUACAGCUCUUCCUCUGAGCAGGAAUGUUGCAGCAUAGCACAGCUCAGCACUACACACUCCAUUAAAGGAGCUUGUAUAGCAUCCUGUAGGCCUAGAGGUCCAGCAGGAACCUUUGGCAGACACAAAAGUACUUUGGAAAACUGUGGGAAUGCUGAUGACCUGACAGUGAUUUAUAUUAUUGCAUUAGAAAAAUAAAUAGUAUGGCAGAACCUGUCAGGGUGGAUAAAACAAAGAUUUGCCAGUAACUCUGCUGUGCAGCUUUCCAAACUACUAGCCUGCUGGUUAGCCCAGGCCUCUACUUUAUCCAAACCCUCAUAAAAAUUUAUUGCAGAUGGGUACUAAGAACCUUGAGGAAAAUCUUUUGCUGUUUCAACAGCAUCUCUGCCUUAUGAUAGUCUCGCAGUAACUUCCACCCCCCGCCCCCCCCAGCAGAAGAGAUUUUCUCCAGCCCAACAUGGUUUAAUCCUCCAUUACAAAUGACAAAGGAAAGAAUUUAUCGGCCUAUCUGGGAUAGCCAAGGGAUGAAGUACCAGAAGCUGUGUAUGAACAAGAGAGACUUAAAUCACACUUGGAAUUGCAGGCAUAGUUUCAGCUGCUGUGCAAAGAGCCCUGUUCUCAGCCCAGGUACUAUUUUGCUCUGAGGCCUGAUGGUAACUAACUGCCCCAUAUAUCAAAACAAGACAGUUUUGUGUGAUUUGGCUUCUCCUCUGCUGUGUGUUCAUCAAUAUAUCAGAAAGCAGACCUGGACAGCAGUGUGAUUUGGAGCUACCUGAAGGCUGGAGCAGUGGGGCAGUGCAAAGGCACGCUGGGGACCAGGACUUGGCCAGUGCCACAUCCUUUUGUACCCGUCACUGAACAGAAAGGCUCAGCUCCCAGCUCAGCUGGACUCGCCGUGCCAAUAAAUCUCCUCUCGCAGAGGCAGUCCCAGCACAGAUCUGGCACUGGGAGCCAUGCUCUUGUUUCCCAUUAAUGUGUUCACAGGUGCCAAGGGAGCUGCAGUCAGCACCAUCCAGGGGUAGCCUGCGCAUCCUGCCGGCAGCCCUGAGGCAGGAGCUGAGCGGAGGGAGCGGUGCCAGUGCCUGCAGCAGCUCCGAGGGCUGAGGGAGCAAAGAGAGCUGGUGAGUGGCCUGUGCUGGUCUGUGCUCACAUGCCAUGGCCCGGCUUGGCACAAAGCCAGCCCUGGCAGGGAACAAACCCCAGCCCAGGCUCUGAGGGAGAUCAGCUGUGCCUUAGCUGAUGAUGUGCCGGCGGUACCUUAGAGAGACAUGGUCCCAAUACCCUGUGUCCCUUUGACCCUGACUUGUUAACACUUAAAGAUGACCAGUCUAAACCUUACUGACCUCAAAAGGCCUGCACAGACUCAGGAUGGGCACCAGAGUAGUUCAUUUGCAGAGCCAUGCUCUUGCCUAGCCAGAUGUAUAUCAUUAUGUGUCAUCACAGAGCUAGGAGUUAAAGACUGACACGGUAAUUUAGUCUGGGAUAACAUGGAAAAUAAGGCUUUUUAAACAUGGAAAAAACAUGACAAGCGUGUACAAGCAUUUUGAGAACUGAUUGGCAUUCCAUCAUGAAUAAUAUGAGAAUAAAUUUUCUUACUAAAAAUAUUGAAAAGUAUAAAAUCUCCUUGUUUAAUGGCAAGCAAUAAGACAAGUGCAAGAGUUAACCAAGUAUCUGAUUCAGUUAUACAUGUCCUGAAUCAA